rnacentral:rRNA from 1 species
UACGUAGGGUGCAAGCGUUGUCCGGAAUUAUUGGGCGUAAAGAGCUCGUAGGCGGUCUGUCACGUCGGAUGUGAAAAUCCAGGGCUUAACCCUGGACCUGCAUUCGAUACGGGCAGACUAGAGUUCGGUAGGGGAGACUGGAAUUCCUGGUGUAGCGGUGAAAUGCGCAGAUAUCAGGAGGAACACCGGUGGCGAAGGCGGGUCUCUGGGCCGAUACUGACGCUGAGGAGCGAAAGCGUGGGGAGCGGACAGG